CAUGGCGGGGGAGGGGAGCCUCCUCAUGGGGUUGCCAUGGCGACCAUUGGUUUUCUCAUCCAGCUUGCAUCUUCAUCCACAGAUGACUCCCCCUUCCCUGACAGUCCAUGGCUGAAUCUUAGAACCUCUUCAGAAACGUCCUUUGUGGUCAAUAUUUCCUUCAUGCCAAUGAGACAGGGUAAACUUGCCUACGGGGCCUAACCUUCUAAAUGGAUGUCCAGACAGGAAGAACAAAACCCAUUAUAGCACUUUCAUCUUUUAAAAAAAUAAAAGGUUUAUAGCUUUUUGUUCCCCCUCCCCCUCCCCAUUUCAUGAUGUCCAUUCCUUAAGAAGGGUUUAAAUAAUAUGAAAACUUUCUUUUUGGAAAUAAAAAAAUAUAUAUCUAUAUAUCUAUAUAUAUCUAUUUGGUGUUUGAUACAUCGGUAGGUACUUUAAAGACCUGAAUUUUAUAGUAGCUUUAGCGAUUAUAUUUUAUAAGAAUCAGUUAUGACUUUAUAUUUCCAGAUAGAGAGUUCAGAACACGAUGCUCUAAGCCCCCCUCCUCUGCCCCUCCUCGGCUUGCUUUUCCUGCUCUCCCGACCUCUACCCCUCCCCCCUCCGGGUUCCCAGGGCUUUGAGCUUGAUCUUUUGAAAGUUUUAUUCUAUUGAAGUUUUUGCUAUAUCUUCUGGUUUUCUUAAGAAGCUUUAGAGUGGUUUCUAUGCCCUUUGUACCACUGCACUGUUCAUAUCAUCUCGGGGUCGAUUGUGACUGCGUCCGGAUGGGAAACCGAGGCAGAGGCGUCGAUAGUCACGUUUUCUGGUCUCCCUGCAACAUGUCCAUGGGGGGUGGGGGGAUCCUGGAAAGUCUGGUGCUUAGAGAGGGUGCCAUUGUCUCUUGUAUAUACGGUCAUGAUGUGUCUAUGUCAAAAGUUCUUAUAUAUUUCUUUUAUAAGCUGAAAGAAGGUCUAUUUUUAUGUUUUUAGGUCUAUGAAUGGAACGUUGUAAAUGCUUGUCCAACAAUAAAAAUACUGAAAAGGG
rnacentral:lncRNA from 1 species